UACCAGCACCCCGAGUGGUCGGGACGUUUAUUGGGCCUAAAGCAUCCGUAGCCGGUUCUACAAGUCUUCCGUUAAAUCCACCUGCUUAACAGAUGGGCUGCGGAAGAUACUAUAGAGCUAGGAGGCGGGAGAGGCAAGCGGUACUCGAUGGGUAGGGGUAAAAAUCCGUUGAUCCAUUGAAGACCACCAGUGGCGAAGGCGGCUUGCCAGAACGCGCUCGACGGUGAGGGAUGAAAGCUGGGGGGAGCAAACAGG
rnacentral:rRNA from 1 species